rnacentral:rRNA from 1 species
CUCCUAGUAACGGCGAGUGAACGGAGAUUAGCCCAGCACAGAAGCCUAUCCACUCUUGUGGAAAGGGCAAUGUUGUGUUCCGGCGUGGAUCUGGGCAUGCUCGUCUACUCUAAGUCCAACUCCGAUUAUGGCUUUGGAUUUGUUUCAGGGAGGGUGAAAAACCCGUACGAGUAGACAUUCUGGCCUCAGAGCAUGCACAGUCGUCCGCGCUUUGGAGUCGGAUUGCUUGAGAAUGCAGUCCAAAGUGGGUGGUAAACUCCAUCCAAGGCUAAAUACUGGCACGAGUCCGAUAGUAAACAAGUACCGCGAGGGAAAGUUGAAAAGUACUCUGAAGAGA